GAACCGGCGAUCUGGGGUGCGCGAAACCUCGAGGCGCAGAAAUUCGAUUCACACUUUUCAAGGAUUCAUCAAUCAUUGACGUAGCGGUACUCUUUUUAAUACCGAAAAAAUUCCCCGGUGAUUUAAAAGAUUAAAAAAAACCGACCUAUAUAAUUAUCCGAGAAUUUGCACAAUUUGGGACGUACAAUAACUGACAAUGAAGCAUACUGCGAUAAAUAAGGUUUCUUAUGUUUGGAGUAAGUAUUUGGAUCAUUUUUUUCAGUAAAACCUUUGUUGCCCGGCAGUGGCGUAACUACCACCCGGGAAGCCCUGGCACGGUCUGGGGGCCCCAGCUUAGAAGGGCCCCCUAAAUAUUCUGGACUGUUACGGUCGAAAGAAUUGGUCCCAAGCCCGUAUAAGAAAAAAGGAGGGAGUUUUGUGUGAGCUAUAGAUUACUUACAGAUAGCUAGAUCAAUGACAAAUCUUGACUUAAUCUUCUGUUCUAUCCGUUUUUGUUGUCAAAAAUAGGGGUUUCGUUUCCAUUUGAAAAUUUCAAGUUGACCUUCUAAUGAUCCCUAAAUUUGACCCCUAUAUAAAGGGCCCUAUUCAAUUUUUGCCCGGGGGCCCCCAACAUUGUAGUUACGCCACUGUUGCCCGGGAUUUCCGGUUUUUCAUUUUGAACUAUUGUUGCUGUCUGUAGCACGGCCCCAUCAAACGAUAACUCACGCAAAACUAUCAAAAAUACUUGUCUUGGCAACUUUAACGGAGGUUUUCGCGAAACUUGACGCGAUACGCCAUUUUUACGGCCAGAUUCGUUUUAAGCGAAAAAUUCUUCAGAAAAUACAUUUCAUUUAUAAGUUUAUGGAAAAUCUUCUUUCAGCAUUAGAACCAAAAUAUAGGCAAAUUGAUAAUGUAACACAUGCAAAGUAUGACUAAAGUCAAUUCUUUUUAAAUGUUGUUAAUAGUACGUUAAAGAUCAAUUUUCUUUCUUUUUUUUCAACACAAAGAUGUCAUGGAAUUGGAAGCUUUGCUAUUAUAUAGACAGGUACUAGCCCAGAAUCAUUUAAAAACCUUAUACAGAAGACGAAUUCGUAAAACCUUAUUCGAAUUCAGCAGGAAGAAGACGAAUUGGGUUCACUCCCAUUCGGCGCUCUCUUUGACAGAAAAUCGAAAUAAUUUUGCUACUCUGUCGUGCAUUUGCGAGAUAGUAUCUUUAGCAAGCCCUUUGCUAUUCCGUUCUUGUCCCGUAUAUGCUCCUAUCUACGUUUUCUUUCUACGGCUUCCUCUUCCGUGUUUGCAUCUCCGUUGCUUCCUGUCCAUCGUUCGUUGUGCUCGUCACGUAUCCGGCGCCACGACGUCGAGCCAGCGGCGUCGGCGACACGCCGCCGCGCCGGUGUGCUCUCAGCAACCGGAUCGGGUCGUCGCGAUAGGUACAUUCAGAAUCGAACCACGUGACGAACCUCGUGACAACGAGAGAGAGAAAGAGGGAAACGCGAAAUAAAAUUUUUCAUAAAGUUGAAUUUUCUAAUAUAAAUUUUUCUGUUUGCAACGCGCGUAAUACAACGAAGAUGCGAGCAUAUAAGUGAACGUAUAGUUGGUUACUUUAUGCCUCUGCAUUUUCACAGUUUCCCACUAUUUAGGGGCUGAAUUAUAAAUAGCAUAUGAUGCAUAUUUUCUGAGAGGUAGACACUGCUAACAACAAAACGCGCCACUUAUUAAUUUUUCGAUGACAAAAAUCGAUAGAACUCUGCGGGGGCUACCGGGAACUCUCAACAGAACUGCCGGAACUGUUCAAAAAUUUUUUCGAGUCUUAUAAGACAGAAACUGUCACCU